rnacentral:lncRNA from 1 species
AUGAGUCUGGAGAGGAGGUUUGAGUAUGCAGGUCCAGAGGUGUUCUCACCUCCCACAACCCAGAGUGUCAGAGAUGACAGACCUCUACUCUCUGGCCGCUGGACGACCUCCACGCCCGACGGACCCUCCCCGGAGCCUGUGACCUUUGACCCUGCUCGCAUCAGCGCUUGGCUGGGACAGACGCGUGUCCACACCGUCCCCUCUAGGGUCCUUUCGGUCCAACAGCACAGAGCCUACUCCAAGGCUGUCCAGACCAACAGUACUGGGAAGGUAUGCCUUAAACCCAGUAAAACUCCUCUGCCUUUUUAAGACUGAUCUAGUGUCCCCUCUGACCCAUAUCUCCUCCAAAUUAGAAUUCAAUGUCGUCUCAGUUAAUUGGUGGAAAUAAUGACUUAGACAGAAACCCUCUGAUCCUUUGAGGACAUUGACUUUGCCCACACCCAAAAAAUUAUAGCCUCUGCAGUCAAACGAGUAAAGUUGGAGGAAUGAGCUACGAGCAACAGUAGCCUUCAUUGAGCGGCGUACUGCAUCACAUGAGAAUCUUCGUGUGUGUGUAGCUUUCUGGAACGGCUGAGAAGAUGUGCCUUGGAGCCUCCAAGACUCCUGACCUUCCGCACUGAUUAGAUUCUGCUUAUGUUCCUCUUUACUAGCAUUGGUCCAGAGAGGGGCAUGUAUAGUGAGACAUCCACACAAAGGUGUUUGGUUCUAUGCAGACCUGCUUUGUGGAAAAGGCUCAAUAAAAAAAAAAUACAAAUUAUACUGUGACGAGCUCUAGGAGUCGACUUUCCUUUUCAAUAUUUGCAAAAAUGCAUGGAGAAUUCAGUGGCGUCACGAACAAAGUGAAUAUCCAUGGACUCAUCCACACUUGUUUUGUGUCAUUGCGUGCAGCUUUAAAUUCAUUGCCCACUAUUUUGGAAGUGUCACCGCCUACAAAGAGUAUCUUAUACCUCGUCUCACUCGUAAACAAUAAAAUUGAGAUUUAUAAAUAUAUCGGUGUAGCAGAGGCCACGUUUUAAGUGUCACAAGAACAGAAACAGCCCAGGAACAUUUCCCUUCUGUUUUUUUUUUGUGGAGGGUGCUUCUUACUUUCUAAUUAAGCUGUCUGAAGCCCAGCCUGACUAAAGCAUUCUGUUCGCCAGAGGGGGACACGUCCAUAAGAAAGUGAAUCGCUGUGCUGAUGGAAAGCCUGAUUUCACUGCAAAGCCUUGCAGAGGAAACUUUUCCAAUUCAAAGGGGUUCUUGUAAUUUCUUUGCGCUCGUGGCUUAAUUGUUCCGCUUUACAGGGACAGCGGAACGCUCUAGCGUUAACUGGAUUUUUUUUCUGUCUGUUGUAAUUGCAGACGAGCGAAUAAAGACACACCAUAGGCCACGAGCGGUCGUCAGAACCCAGUGAGUGGAUAGAGGCGCUGGUGGUUUGGUCCCAUGAGAGGGGGGGGGGGGGGUGCACGGGAACCUCAUUGGACCACAUCUCGACGUCUCUUUUCAUUUACAAUUGGCCUUUGUUGCAUAGAAACACUGCAUGUAGAAUGAGUCUAGCCUGUGCUGUAACCCAAACUGCUGUUGCUGUGUGUCAGUGUGCUUGUUGCUCUGAGGGAAGCCACAGUCUUGGGGACAUAGCUGUUCAGACACACGCCCAGGAGCUGUGCUUGGCCACCUGCAACUCACAGUCAUGUGACCUCCAGCUCCAGUCUGAUACGAUGACUUGUAGACUUCAAUCAAACCCACAGGUAACAGUAUCACAUUAUUUAU